CGAAAUCGGUAGACGCUACGGACUUAA
rnacentral:tRNA from 1 species